GUGUCUAUGGUGUAGUGGUAACACAACAGGUUGUGGUCCUGUUAUCACCGGUUCGAAUCCGGUUAGACACCCCA
rnacentral:tRNA from 1 species